GCGCUCAGACCGGUCGGAAAUCGGUCGUAGAGUAUAAAGGCAAAAGCGCGCUUGACUGCGAGACAGACACGUCGAGCAGGUACGAAAGUAGGUCUUAGUGAUCCGGUGGUUCUGUAUGGAAGGGCCAUCGCUCAACGGAUAAAAGGUACUCCGGGGAUAACAGGCUGAUACCGCCCAAGAGUUCAUAUCGACGGCGGUGUUUGGCACCUCGAUGUCGGCUCAUCACAUCCUGGGGCUGAAGCCGGUCCCAAGGGUAUGGCUGUUCGCCAUUUAAAGUGGUACGCGAGCUGGGUUUAGAACGUCGUGAGACAGUUCGGUCCCUAUCUGCCGUGGACGUUUGAGAUUUGAGAGGGGCUGCUCCUAGUACGAGAGGACCGGAGUGGACGAACCUCUGGUGUUCCGGUUGUCACGCCAGUGGCAUUGCCGGGUAGCUAUGUUCGGAAAAGAUAACCGCUGAAAGCAUCUAAGCGGGAAACUUGCCUCAAGAUGAGAUCUCACUGGGAACUUGAUUCCCCUGAAGGGCCGUCGAAGACUACGACGUUGAUAGGCUGGGUGUGUAAGCGUUGUGAGGCGUUGAGCUAACCAGUACUAAUUGCCCGUGAGGCUUGACCAU
rnacentral:rRNA from 1 species